GAUGAACGCUGGCGGCGUGCCUAAUACAUGCAAGUCGAGCGAACAGACGAGGAGCUUUCUCCUCUGACGUUAGCGGCGGACGGGUGAGUAACACGUGGAUAACCUACCUAUAAGACUGGGAUAACUUCGGGAAACCGGAGCUAAUACCGGAUAAUAUAUUGAACCGCAUGGUUCAAUAGUGAAAGACGGUUUUGCUGUCACUUAUAGAUGUAUCCGCGCCGCAUUGGCUAGUUGGUAAGGUAAAGGCUUACCAAGGCAACGAUGCGUAGCCGAACUGAGAGGGUGAUCGGCCACACUGGAACUGAGACACGGUCCAGACUCCUACGGGAGGCAGCAGUAGGGAAUCUUGCGCAAUGGGCGAAAGCCUGACGGAGCAACGCCGCGUGAGUGAUGAAGGUCUUCGGAUCGUAAAACUCUGUUAUUAGGGAAGAACAAAUGUGUAAGUAACUAUGCACGUCUUGACGGUACCUACUCAGAAAGCCACGGCUAACUACGUG
rnacentral:rRNA from 1 species